AUACUGCAAGUCGAGCGGACAGAUGGGGAGCUUGCUCCCUGAUGUUAGCGGCGGACGGGUGAGUAACACGUGGGUAACCUGCCUGUAAGACUGGGAUAACUCCGGGAAACCGGGGCUAAUACCGGAUGGUUGUUUGAACCGCAUGGUUCAGACAUAAAAGGUGGCUUCGGCUACCACUUACAGAUGGACCCGCGGCGCAUUAGCUAGUUGGUGAGGUAACGGCUCACCAAGGCAAGGAAGCGUAGCCGACCUGAGAGGGUGAUCGGCCACACUGGGACUGAGACACGGCCCAGACUCCUACGGGAGGCAGCAGUAGGGAAAGUUCCGCAAUGGACGAAAGUCUGACGGAGCAACGCCGCGUGAGUGAUGAACGUUUUCGGAUCGUAAAGCUGAGUUGUUAGGGAAGAACAAGUGCCGUUCAAAUAGGGCGGCACCUUGACGGUACCUAACCAGAAAGCCACGGCAAACUAGGUGCCAGCAGCCGCGGUAAUACGUAGGUGGCUUGCGUUGUCCGCAAUUUUUGGGCGAAAAGGGCUCGCAGGCGGUUUCUUUUGUCUGAUGUGAAAGCCCCCGGCUCAACCGGGGAGGGUCUUUGGAAACAGGGGAACUUGAGUGCAGAAGAGGAGAGUGGAAUUCCACGUGUUGGGGUGAAAUCCGAAGAGUUGUGGAGGAACACCAGUGGCGAAGGCGACUCUCUGGUCUGUAACUGUCGCUGAGGAGCGAAAGCGUGGGGAGCGAACAGGAUUAGAUACCCUGGUAGUCCACGCCGUAAACGAUGUGUGCUAAGUGUUAGGGCGUUUCCGCCCCUUAGUGCUGGAGCUAACGCAUUAAGCACUCCGCCUGGGGAGUUCCGUGGCAAGACUGAAACUCAAAGCAAUUGACGGCGGCCCGCACAAGCGGUGGAGCAUGUGGUUUAAUUCGAAGCAACGCGAAGAACCUUACCAGGUCUUGACAUCCUCUGACAAUCCUAGAGAUAGGACGUCCCCUUCGGGGGCAAAAAGACAGGUGGUGCAUGGUUGUCGUCACCUCGUGUCCUGAAAUGUUGGGUUAAUUCCCGCUUCGAGCGCAACCCUUGAUCUUAGUAGCCAGCAUUCAGUUGGGCACUCUAAGGUGACUGCCGGUGACAACCGGAGGAAGGGGGGAUGACGUCAAAUCAUCCUGCCCCUUAUGACCGGGC
rnacentral:rRNA from 1 species